UGAGAAAACUGCUUCCUAGUGGAAGUGCACU
rnacentral:piRNA from 1 species